rnacentral:rRNA from 1 species
GGCGAGUGGCGAACGGGUGAGUAACAUAUCGGAACGUACCGGGCAGUGGGGGAUAACUGAUCGAAAGAUCAGCUAAUACCGCAUAUUUUCUGAGGAAGAAAGCAGGGGACCUUCGGGCCUUGCGCUAUCCGAGCGGCCGAUAUCUGAUUAGCUGGUUGGCGGGGUAAAGGCCCACCAAGGCGACGAUCAGUAGCGGGUCUGAGAGGACGAUCCGCCACACUGGGACUGAGACACGGCCCAGACUCCUACGGGAGGCAGCAGUGGGGAAUUUUGGACAAUGGGCGCAAGCCUGAUCCAGCCAUGCCGCGUGUCUGAAGAAGGCCUUCGGGUUGUAAAGGACUUUUGUCGGGGAAGAAAAGGUCGGGGUUAAUACCCCCGGCUGAUGACGGUACCCGAAGAAUAAGCACCGGCUAACUACGUGCCAGCAGCCGCGGUAAUACGUAGGGUGCGAGCGUUAAUCGGAAUUACUGGGCGUAAAGCGGGCGCAGACGGUUACUUAAGCAGGAUGUGAAAUCCCCGGGCUCAACCCGGGAAUUGCGUUCUGAACUGGGUGGCUAGAGUGUGUCAGAGGGAGGUAGAAUUCCACGUGUAGCAGUGAAAUGCGUAGAGAUGUGGAGGAAUACCGAUGGCGAAGGCAGCCUCCUGGGAUAACACUGACGUUCAUGCCCGAAAGCGUGGGUAGCAAACAGGAUUAGAUACCCUGGUAGUCCACGCCCUAAACGAUGUCGAUUAGCUGUUGGGCAGCCUGACUGCUUGGUAGCGAAGCUAACGCGUGAAAUCGACCGCCUGGGGAGUACGGUCGCAAGAUUAAAACUCAAAGGAAUUGACGGGGACCCGCACAAGCGGUGGAUGAUGUGGAUUAAUUCGAUGCAACGCGAAGAACCUUACCCGGUUUUGACAUGUACGGAAUCCUCCGGAGACGGGGGAGUGCCUUCGGGAGCCGUAACACAGGUGCUGCAUGGCUGUCGUCAGCUCGUGUCGUGAGAUGUUGGGUUAAGUCCCGCAACGAGCGCAACCCUUGUCAUUAGUUGCCAUCAUUCAGUUGGGCACUCUAAUGAGACUGCCGGUGACAAGCCGGAGGAAGG